CAAAAACUCCCUUAGCCGGAGUAGAAAUGGGAUCUGUUGAUGGUGUCGGGGAACUCAGGAAACAUGGAAGGAAGGCCACAGCCUCCGAGAGGAACUGGUGAGUGCUUAUGGAGCAAAGAGCAUGUAGAACCUUCUAGUCUCUGACCACGUGGUGUGUCAGUACAUGGAUGGAUAGACAAACACACACGCUCAUGCACACAUACUUAGGCACAUACACACUUAGAUACACACUUAUACACACACACACACAUGCUCAUGCACACAUACUUAGGCACAUACACACUCAGACACAUGCACACACUCACUCACAUACACUCAGACACACACUCACACACACACAUGCUCAUGCAUACAUUCUCAGGCACACACUCAGACACACACACACUCAGACACACACAUUCAGAUACACUCAGACACACAAACACACUCAGGCACACACACACUCACACACACACUGAGACAUGCAUGUCCCAUGUGGGGAUAGGUUGCACUUCCUCUUUCAGCUGUGGCUUCUGGGCAGCUGCUCUACUCUGUCAUUUCUGCCUUAUGAAGCUUUGUCCCUAUUCAAGUAACAGAAAGCAGAAAGUGGCCCGGGAAACUCGACCUUCAAGCACACAGAACAAAAGAGAGAGCCACUGUCUUCCUGGAAAUGGUGCAUCAAAACUAUUUGCUGGGAUUGGCUUAAAGCUGGCUUGAUGGCUAUGGUCUAUUUUUGGAUGGGUCAAGCUGGUAUAAAAAGGAUGUGUGAACGUGAAGAUGAAGAAAUGCACUUUCUAUGGACAGAACUAAGACUCACCUGAAUGAGUCUAGGAAAGAAACUUAACUCAGUUACAAAAUGCUGGAUAAAGCCAAG
rnacentral:lncRNA from 1 species